GCUUUACCAUUGUAUGCUUUUGAAACUGUUCAACGUGAGUGCAGAAGGGGAGAGUGGAAUUCCAUGUGUAGCGGUGGAAUGCGUAGAUAUAUGGAGGAACACCGGUGGCGAAAGCGGCUCUCUGGUCUGUAACUGACGCUGAGGCUCGAAAGCGUGGGUAGCGAAC
rnacentral:rRNA from 1 species